AACAGUGCCCACCAAAGGUAAUAUGAUUCAAUAAGACAGCUAGCUAGCUAGCUAGCUCGAUCGUUAGCAUGCUAAUAAGCUUCCAGUAAAAGUAAUGUGGACAUGUCCUGCAGGCAAGGUUCUGGAAAACUUUUCUAAAUCUUUAACAACACAGUCUGUGGAACUUGGUUUUGGUACCAUAUGUUUAUUUCAGUGCAGUAUUUGUUUUAUUCGAUUGCAGUUAAUUUAAAUUAGUUAGUACAGGUAGCCUAAUGAAAGUGGGCCAGGCACUUCUAGCAUUUACGCUAAGCCCGGUGUAUUUACACUGUUUAUUCUUGUGCUGAUUCAAUUGUACACCGUUUCAAUGAAAAAAACAAACAAACGUUUGCAAUGAAAUUAUAGCAGAAUUCAGCUUUGUUGGUACAUUUGGUCAAGACAAUAUUGUGUUACUCUAUUUUAAUUUUACAUUGUUAUCUGCCUGACAAAUGGUUUGCCCGAAUCUAUUAGUCUGACCAGCAAAUGUUUGAUGAAAUGAAUUUUUGUAUUUUUGAGGAAGAAAAUAAUAUUCCUUUGGCUCAGUACUUUUUGAGCCAAAAUAAGUGCUGCCAUAAUAUUGUGCUUGCUUGUCUGGCUGACUUCUUCUCACUUUCCAUUGUAGAUGUUUACUGGUGGUGAUAAUGUCACAAAGAAGAACCAGACUGAGCCCUGAAUCUGAGGCUGCUCCUUUUAUCUGGAGUCAACAAGCCUUGUUUGAAAGCCCAGUGGAUCAAUGAUUAUAAAGACACCAAGUGACGGGAUCUUGACUGAACCUUCUGGAAACCAAGAAGGGAGUGAGAGAUACACUUCAUCCUUACAACAGACAUCAAGUGACAGGUACCUGACUGAACCCUCUGGAAACCAAGAAUGGAGUGAGAGAUCCACUUCAUCCUUACAACAGACACCAAGUGACUUGACUGAACCCUCUGGAGACCAUGAAUGGAGUGAGAGAUCCACUUCUUCCUUACAACAGGUUACUACGUCUUAUCAUGAUAUACUAGGUUUGAGUUUUCAGCUUUCUUUGACAAACACAGGAGAAGUUAUAA